UAACCUGCCCAAGAGAUCGGGAUAACACCUGGAAACAGAUGUUAAUACCGGAUAACAACAGAUGAUGCCUAUCAACUGUUUAAAAGAUGGUUCUGCUAUCACUCUUGGAUGGACCUGCGGUGCAUUAGCUAGUUGGUAGGGUAACGGCCUACCAAGGCGAUGAUGCAUAGCCGAGUUGAGAGACUGAUCGGCCACAUUGGGACUGAGACACGGCCCAAACUCCUACGGGAGGCAGCAGCG
rnacentral:rRNA from 1 species